GACGAACGCUGGCGGCGUGCCUAAUACAUGCAAGUCGAACGCUUCUUUCCUCCCGAGUGCUUGCACUCAAUUGGAAAGAGGAGUGGCGGACGGGUGAGUAACACGUGGGUAACCUACCCAUCAGAGGGGGAUAACACUUGGAAACAGGUGCUAAUACCGCAUAACAGUUUAUGCCGCAUGGCAUAAGAGUGAAAGGCGCUUUCGGGUGUCGCUGAUGGAUGGACCCGCGGUGCAUUAGCUAGUUGGUGAGGUAACGGCUCACCAAGGCCACGAUGCAUAGCCGACCUGAGAGGGUGAUCGGCCACACUGGGACUGAGACACAGCCCAGACUCCUACGGGAGGCAGCAGUAGGGAAUCUUCGGCAAUGGACGAAAGUCUGACCGAGCAACGCCGCGUGAGUGAAGAAGGUUUUCGGAUCGUAAAACUCUGUUGUUAGAGAAGAACAAGGACGUUAGUAACUGAACGUCCCCUGACGGUAUCUAACCAGAAAGCCACGGCUAACUACGUG
rnacentral:rRNA from 1 species